CGUGUUUACUUUGUAGAUGAUUCCAUAUUGGUGCGCCAUAUAUCCUCUGUGCUGGGAGCAGAUGGUGGAUAGGUGCUGCUCGCCUGAGUGGGACGAGGCGCACAACGCUAGUCGAAAACGACGUCUGAUGAUGCAAUGUCCCUCCCACCACCAAGGCAGCCGCAACCUAGGCCAAUAUGCAGAAGCAUGGUCAGCGUCACAUGGUGGCCAGCCUUGCUCCAUCUUUUCGACCUAUGCUAUGGCCCACAAGGGCAAGGCAACGUCCGACGUCACCUACAACCCGGAUGACGGGCCUGAGGCAUACAACAACCUCGCCAUCUACAACCGCCUUCAUGACUACACCACCAUGGCACAGAAGGUCCAUGGCCCAGAAUACAAUCCGAGGACCGAGCAGAUCGACCCCGAUGUCCUCAUGACGGUCUGAGGAGGCAAGAGACAUGGGCGGUACUGGAUUGUCGAUGGGGCAAUCGACUCGUCGUCCACUCCCGCUCUGUCUCAGGUGCGAGCAAGGAGCACGGACUCGAGUCCAGCCAUACGACCUUGGCAGGACAACUCACAUCAUCGCAUACAGCAACUCGAGACCAAGCUAGAAAUAGAGAGGAGGGAACGUCAGUAGAUGGAGGCGAGGAUGGCUGAGAUGUUCCAAUACAUACAGAGCCUUGGCGACGCACAGGGUUUCGCUCUACCACCUCCAUUGUUUCCUACAGUUGACCCUGCUCUGUUCCAUACUCCUGUGAUUAUCAAAAUUGUAGUUAGAUGUUGGUAAUGCAUCUGGUGUAACAUAUGCAAUCUCUUCCCUGUGGAGGGACAAUCUCGGGCGGCAUCCAACAACCCUCAUGGAUCGCCUAGCCCAUCGCUGCACCAGUCCAACCACCCACCUCGAUGAGACUUAUGUUCUUAGUGUUGAGACUUAUGAGAUACUUGAGACUUCAGAACUUGUUGGUAAUGUUGUGUUGGAUACUUAUGUUUGUGUUGGAUACUUAUGUGAGAACUUGAGACUUAUGAGACUUAUGUUCUUGAGUGUCUUAUGUUUGAUUAAUGGUCUUUGUGAGA